rnacentral:rRNA from 1 species
ACAGAACCUUCCUUUAAGCGGGGGAUAGCCCAUAGAAAUGUGGAUUAAUACCCCAUAGUAAUAUUGUCUGGCAUCAGAUGUUAUUUAAAGAUUUAUCACUUAAAGAUGGCUGUGCGGCUGAUUAGGUAGUUGGUGCGGGUAACGGCCCACCAAGCCAGCGAUCAGUAACUGGUGUGAGAGCACGACCAGUCACACGGGCACUGAGACACGGGCCCG